CCCGAAGUUGGCCAACUUGGCCCCGGGCGCGGCGCACAGAGUUUGCCCAAGUCGCCUCGGACGAUGCUUGAGGAAGGGUCGGCGGGACGCACCGGGCAGAUAAAGACACCUGUCUCUUUGCUCUUCCACUCGCCCUUCCCCAAGCCGGUGUGGCAAGCCUAAAGCAGAAGGUACAGCGAUGACUCCCUAUGAACAAGAGGGCCCAGUCUUAUGAGGGAAACUACAUGAUUUGUACAACUGGUGGCUUUCAUGGUGACUUCAGAUCCUUGGUUCUGUCCUUCCUGGGGCAUGGUGUGCGGGCGUGGACCGCUGUAGUCUGACAACCACCCAGUGGCUUCCUUGCCUCCUGGGGACACCUGGAGUUGGAUCUACUCUUCAGAAACAGUGAUUUCUUGCUGUCAACACUGAAAGAUGAUGAGAUUAUUGGACGCAGCAGCUUAUGUGUGUGCUUCCAGCACUAGGAAGUCUGAGACAGGAGGAUAGCCAUGACUUUGAGGUUAGCCUGGUCGACAGAGUGAAAUCCUCUCUUAAAACCAACAACCCUCAAAAGAAGGGGGGAUGGAAAGAAAGGUAAAACUGUGACAUUUUAGUUUUUAAAAAUAUAUUUCUAAAAUUUCUGGAGGAAUUGGGAAGGGUGGCCAAAAUGAGCCCACAUUCCUGUUUAGCCACAAUUAUUAAAUGAGAUAUUUAUCUGUCAGUUUGCUGAAGGUCCACUCCCCACACAUGUACCGUGAAGACACGAUCAUUCUGACCUCUGAUGAUCCAUUUUGUCCCAAAGUUGGAGCUGGAAUCCCAGUGUGGCAGAAAGAAGCAGGUGCUGGAGCAAGGUAUCCUCAAACACACGAGUGUGGACUGAGCCGGAAGAUGACAGGAACAGGCAGGUCGGGGCUGGGCUAGGCGAGCUGGAGACAGCAUUCGCCUGUGAUUCUCCAAGCCAGAUGAAGGAAGCAAACCCAGUAGCUUCACCUACUUCAGGGCCUCUCCCCUCCCCCUCAUCUUCCUGCCAUGCGAAUGGUCAUUAUCAGUUUUAUUUUUUCCACCACCUACCACUUCUACUGCUACCUCCUUAUGUAGCACUUAAUAGUUUACUUCCAAAAACAUUGAAGGAUACUUUAAACCAGUGCCAUAAAGCAAGAGCCAGGGUCUCUCCAUUUCACCAUAAAUCAAAAAUCACUGUCCCUCAAAUAAAUAAAAUGAGAAGUGAGAAGAGGAGCCAGGUCCUAGCUACUACUGCCCACCCCAAGGGGGUGCUGAAGCUGAGAAGCCAGUUUGAGACAGACUUCGGAGUGGGGACAGCGGAAGCCCUUCACCAGCCCGGCCUACCUAGAAGCCCUCACAGGAAACCGCUGCAAGAUGCUACGGGUGAAUCGGGCACAUAGACUUCAAACUUCAGCACUUUGGUGGAGACUGAGGGUUAUUGCCAUGUCCCAGCUGACUGCUUAUCUGUGUGUGUGUGUGUGUGUGUGUGUGUGUGUGUGUGUGUGUGUGUGUGUGUCUGUCUGUCUGUCUGUGUGUGUACACACAUGGCUGAGUUAGCAGAGUGCUGGCCUACUAUCCCCCAGCACUACAUAAAUUCCACACCCAGCACUUCAGAGAUUGAGGCAGGAAGAUCAAAAGCAGCAAGUUCAAGUUUGGGGGCUGGAGAGAUGGCCUAGCAGUUAAGAGCAGUGGGUUCUUCAAGAGGACUGGGUUCAAUUUCCAGCACCCACAUGGCGGCUCACAACUCUCUGUAACUCCAGCUCCAGGGGGGAAUCCAGCGCCCUCCUCUGGUCUCUAUUGGCACUGCAUGCACAUGGUACACAUAGAUGUAGGCAAAAUUAC
ensembl:processed_transcript Gm12198 predicted gene 12198